GGAGGUAUGGGUGAGUGGCUUAAACCACCGUCCUGCUAAGACGGAGGGCCUUCGGGUCCCGCUGGUUCGAAUCCAGCUGCCUCCG
rnacentral:tRNA from 2 species